UUAAGUUCAGCGGGUAUCCCUACCUGAUUCGAGGCCAAGUGUUCGUUGACUGGCGUCUUGUCCUAAGAAGACAUCCUCGCGAAAGACUUGCUACGCGGGACAUUCUUUACAAGACGCCGAGGAGUUUGGGAGGCCUUUCCCUUGCGGAAAAAGUCCCUCCAUCGCAAGGCAGAGCCUUAGUAGUACAACGGCGCUCGAAC
rnacentral:misc_RNA from 1 species